UAAGGAAUAUUGCGCAAUGGGCGAAAGCCUGACGCAGCGACGCCGCGUGGGGGAUGAAGGUCUUCGGAUUGUAAACCCCUUUCGGGAGGGAAGAUGGAGCGAGCAAUCGUUCGGACGGUACCUCCAGAAGCAGCCACGGCCAACUUCGUGCCAGCAGCCGCGGUAAUACGAAGGUGGCAAGCGUUGUUCGGAUUCACUGGGCGUACAGGGUGUGUAGGCGGUUUGGUAAGCCUUCUGUUAAAGCUUCGGGCCCAACCCGGAAAGCGCAGAGGGUACUGCCAGGCUAGAGGGUGGGAGAGGAGCGCGGAAUUCCCGGUGUAGCGGUGAAAUGCGUAGAGAUCGGGAGGAAGGCCGGUGGCGAAGGCGGCGCUCUGGAACAUACCUGACGCUGAGACACGAA
rnacentral:rRNA from 1 species